GUAACAAUCCUUAUGACUGGGCUGUUCCUUCAGCCCACUCCUCUCCCUUCACAUCAGGCUUUUGACCAAGCUGCCAUUUUCUGCAGAGUCUUUGCAAGUGGGAGUAUGCUUGAAUAUCUACCCCACACCUGCAGACCCUAGCAGGAAGAAAUGCCAGUUCCACAGCAGCUGCUCAGACGAAAGAACCAGCACCUUCCCUAUCCAGUUAGACUAGUCAACUCUCAAAAACCACAAGUGCCUGAUGGUCAGUGGAUGAGCACUCAUCUCACAUGUACUUGGCUUCCUGUGAUUAACAGCUUAGGCACAGCCUGUCACUGGCAGUGGAUGGUCACAGCUGUCUGGGGAACAAGAUGAGGACAUGUAAACACACAGAGAAGCCACAUCAAGAAAAGCAGAAGUGCAGUAGUGUGGAUAUGACCUUCCUGCCUCUCUCAACUCAUCCUUCUCAACCUCAUCCCAUCCAACACCCACAGGGCCUCACACACCUUGACAACACAGAAAAAGGCAGAGGAAGAUGAGUGGUAGUCUUUCCUUCAUCACGAGGGAGAGGCUUUUGAGGCUCAGGAUUGUCCUGCUGGUUGUUCGCUACCUCUGGUACCUGCCAUUCCUUGGCCUCUCCAAGCAAUCUGAAAAGACUGCAUGUCCUCAGACUGCCGUAAGGGAGAACUAAGACUUCAUUAUCUUGUGGAAUUGGUGAUGAAACGCAGUAUCUCUGCAUAUCCCAGGGCUCCAGAGCACAGUACAUACCAAAGCCUUGCUAACUGUUUAUUAUGAAGAUCUAAAAAUCA